rnacentral:rRNA from 1 species
CCUACGGGGGGCAGCAGUGAGGAAUAUUGGUCAAUGGGCGAGAGCCUGAACCAGCCAAGUCGCGUGAAGGAUGAAGGAUCUAUGGUUUGUAAACUUCUUUUAUAAAGGAAUAAAGUGAGGCACGUGUGCCUUUUUGUAUGUACUUUAUGAAUAAGGAUCGGCUAACUCCGUGCCAGCAGCCGCGGUAAUACGGAGGAUCCGAGCGUUAUCCGGAUUUAUUGGGUUUAAAGGGAGCGUAGAUGGGUUGUUAAGUCAGUUGUGAAAGUUUGCGGCUCAACCGUAAAAUUGCAAUUGAUACUGGCAGCCUUGAGUACAGUUGAGGUAGGCGGAAUUCGUGGUGUAGCGGUGAAAUGCUUAGAUAUCACGAAGAACUCCGAUUGCGAAGGCAGCUUACUAAACUGCCACUGACAUUGAUGCUCGAAAGUGUGGGUAUCAAACAGGAUUAGAUACCCGUGUAGUC